AUUGAACGCUGGCGGCAUGCCUCACACAUGCAAGUCGAACGGUAACAGGUCUUCGGAUGCUGACGAGUGGCGAACGGGUGAGUAAUACAUCGGAACGUGCCUAGUAGUGGGGGAUAACUACUCGAAAGAGUGGCUAAUACCGCAUGAGAUCUACGGAUGAAAGCAGGGGAUCGCACGACCUUGUGCUACUAGAGCGGCAGAUGGCAGAUUAGGUAGUUGGUGGGAUAAAAGCUUACCAAGCCGACGGUCUGUAGCUGGUCUGGGAGGACGAGCAGCCACACUGGGACUGAGACACGGCCCAGACUCGUACGGGAGGAAGCAGUGGGGAAUUUUGGACAAUGGGCGAGAGCCUAAGCCAGCAAUGCCGCGUGCAGGAUGAAGGCCUUCGGGUUGUAAACUGCUUUUGUACGGAACGAAAUCCAGCUGGUUAAUACCCGGUUGGGAUGACGGUACCCAAAGAAUAAGCACCGGCUAACUUCGUGCCAGCCGCCGCGUAA
rnacentral:rRNA from 1 species